CGAGGCCCCAGGUCAGGCGGGAUUACCCGC
rnacentral:rRNA from 1 species